AUUUUAACUAUAAGCUAAAGCAAGCUACUUUCUAAUGAGAGAGUUCUGUUAAAUAAAGGUCAGCAGGAAACAUAACAACAUUCAUUGUCUCUUGUUUGUGGUCCAUCUGGAUAUCAUGAAAACUUGCUCAAAUUUCUCUCCUUAACCAACAGUUUAUCUAAAUCACAUUGCACUCCACUUUGGCUAGGACUGUUUGUCAUUAACCAGAACAGCAAUGAUGUUUUUAAAUGCCACUUCUAAGAAAAGGAUGCUCAUUUUGUCUCUUUACCUAUCUUUCUCUACCUUUGCAAUAUUAUGAAAAAGCCUCUCAACCAAUUACCCCAAAGGAAACUUAGUUCUAGAAGAUCAGUGUUAUGUUGGUUAUAAAGAUAAAUGAGCUAGGAAGGAGUUGACGCUGUUUUUAUGUUCUUACUUAGUAUUAUGUCUUUAGACUUAGUCCACAGAAGGAUUCUCUGUCUAAUGCUCCUUCUAUUAAAAUAAUAAUAAUACUUUGUCCCAACAAAGCAUUAUGCUAAAGGAGGUCUUCAAGGAGAUUACAGAUUACUCAGAAAUUAUGUCAAGUUCCAGGAGUUAGGAAUGAAACAAAUGCAGUAAGAAAGGUAUACAGUGUUUUUGAGUGUUUUAAUAGACAGAGAAAGAUUAUGAACAGAAACCAAGAAAAAGACAAAUCUCCAAGAAGAAACAUCAAUAUUAACAGAGUUCCAAUCUCUCUCCAUCUCUCUCUCUAGCUCCCUCUCUCCCUCUCUCACACUCUCCCUCUGCCAGUUAUUUGGCAGUAAUGUUACAUCGAGCAAGUUAGGUAACAUUCCUGUGUCUCAGGUUCCUCCUCCAUAAAAUGGGGCCAUAAUACCUGCCACCUAGAGGUGUUAUGUAAAUUACAUGAAAUCAUGAUGCAAGGGGGCUAGCACAGUGCUACACAAAGUAGCCUCUCAAGAAAUGGCACCUAUAAUUUUUGUUAUUAAUGCGGGAGUGAAGAAUCAUGUCAAAUAUUAUAGAGAUUUCAAAGAGGAAGGGCUCUAGAUUUUGUGAUUUGGGAUUUUACUUAUUCAAUAGUGAAAUGGGAGAUCAUUUUUUCCAAAACAAGGUAAUGCGUCAAAAUCACUUUUGAUGGUAUUAAAGGACUGAGCAGAUGGUGAGGAAGCAGAUCAUUCUUUCAAGGAAAUUUCCCCCCCAAAAGAAAGCAAGAGUGAAGACAGCUGACAAAGAGCCAAUAAGGAUGCAAGAAUGGUACAGAUAUUCUUUGACAGGCUGGCCAUGAGGGCCUCUUGAUGAGCUAGCAUCUUACCUUAUUUUGAAGGCUGCAUGUUGAAUUCACACUGAAUUCAUCUCCUACUAGUCCUGUAACUCUGUGUGGUAGGAAUUGUUGCCCCCAUUUGAAGACAGGGAAACUGAAGUUCAAAGGCAUUGAAAGUCCUGUCCCAAAUUCCACAGCAAAUAAUGGCAGAGUCAAACUUUCCAGACAGCUCCUCUGACUCUAAUCCUCGGGCUAUGCUGCCUGACUAACUAAGAAUCCAUCACCUCUACCUCUAGAGCCUGCUUCACCAAGUCACAGAUGUUUCCAGAGAGGAUCUGGAGACAACAACCACUGAGAAAUAACCAUUUGUUUUUUCACAUGGUAACUGCUAACAAGACCUUAAAAAUGUCCACAGUGGCACACACCAUUUUGCAGAAGUCAGGCACUUUGCACAACAUCAACUGUAGCUUUGGGCCUGUUGUAAGUUCAAGGCAUUGUACUAAGCAUUUGAUAUGCAUUCUCUCAUUUAUGGCUCAGAACUGCCCCAAGAAAUGAGUGUUCAUAUCAUUCCCAUUCUACACUAGAGAAAAAUGAGGUUCAGAAAGAGUGAUGGGCUUGCCCAUACUUCAAUACAACUUGUAGGUAGCAAACAUGGGGUUCAGGAAGAACUAACCUGACUCCCAAAUUUUCAAGCAUUGCAUUUGAUACCUGUUGGCCAUUUGACACAUUUUCUGCCCAGAUGCCAAUGUGCAUAGGCCCCUGGUGUGCAGGCCUAGACUGUGAGGUCCCAAGAGGGCCAUGCCCAGAGCUCAAAGAAACAGAAGGAAGCACAUGACUCAUGCACAAAGGUCUUGCUGGCAGAUGACCCAGGCAAUCUGCUUUCCUGUGGAUUAACAUCUCUCUCUGCUCUCUCCUUACCCGCUAAAUAAACCCUUAAUGCAUGGUGCUGGCUCUCAGCCAGAUGCUGACCAAGGUUUACAGAUAUGACUCUAAAUGGUAACUAUGGAAGAAUGAUUUAACUACCUUCCUACCACAAAUUUCCACACUGAAAAGUAGUAAAAGAGAAAGGAGAAUAAGCAAAAUGUUUGGUAACAGAUUUUACAUUUUUUCUUAACCUAUCAUCAAAUUGUUUUUCUAUUUUUUUGUUUAGUCUUAUCUUUUGAAUAACAAAACCAAAACUGGUUCUAUUCUCCUGCCAACCAGUCUCCAAAAUAAUUCAGGUUGACAACCCACUUCAGAUAACGUAUAAAUUAUGCCCCAAUUUUCUUUACCUAAUACUUUCCAUAAUCCAAUAUAUAUCAGUGGCAUUAUAAGCUUUAUUUCCUUCCCAUCCCAUUUUCCAGAAAUCGACCUUGACCUCAUCAAUGUAAUACAUGAGCUUCUUUCCUAUAAAAUUGCCUUUUCUUUGUCUAAGUAGAAUUUGGAUCAUAAUUCUUCCCAUUUCUGUAGUUGUUGGUUUUGUAAGUGUUUUAAUUCAAGCAAAUAUAAUAAUUACCCUUACUUUUCUUUAAAUUAUAGAAAUUCAAACACUCUAUUACCUUGAAAUUAUUAUAAUUUGUAUUCAAAAGCAAUGACCUAAUAAAUUAUACAUUUUAAGCCUCAAUAGUCUGCUAGAUUUGUCAAUAAACACCACAGUCAACUAUGACGGCACCCUUAAUGGUGUUUAGAUUUCUUCCUUCUUUGCUAGGUAUUGCAGUAUGAUGUUAUCCAUACUUUAAAGGCAUAAUAAGAGGUAAGGAUUUCUUACUGGUAGUCCCCCAAUAAGGAUAAGC
rnacentral:lncRNA from 1 species